rnacentral:ncRNA from 2 species
UACGUAGGGGGCAAGCGUUAUCCGGAAUCACUGGGUGUAAAGGGAGCGUAGACGGCUGUGCAAGCCUGAAGUGAAAGGCGGGGGCCCAACCCCUGGACUGCUUUGGGAACUGUACGGCUGGAGUGCAGGAGAGGUAAGUGGAAUUCCUAGUGUAGCGGUGAAAUGCGUAGAUAUUAGGAGGAACACCAGUGGCGAAGGCGGCUUACUGGACUGUAACUGACGUUGAGGCUCGAAAGCGUGGGGAGCAAACAGG